ensembl:lncRNA
CCGGCUCUGGCCGCCCGCCGUCGCGCCGCCCUCCGCGCGGGAGGAGCGGGGCUCGGAGCGGUCCCGGCUGCGUUGUGACCCGUCCGUCUGCGUGAGGUGCCUGGAGGGAAGCGGGGGGCUUCGCUGCCAAGCAGGACAGUGCUCGGUUUGGAAAUGCCAGUGCCUAACAAUCCCUACCUUACUUCAUCACGAUUAAAGAUGAAAGCCCUUCUUUUAGCUGCGUUUCAUUUGUCCUGCGGCAGUAGUUACAAGUUUCAUUUUCUGAUCAGCCAUUCUGUGCAGCCCUCGGUUGGCGCUUUGGUUUCUGAUUCGGAGGAAUUUUGGUAAGGUUUUUUUUUUUUUUUUUUUUCCUUCUGGUUAUUUGCUUUGCUGUUCGUCUUUGGAGGCAGUCUCCAAACUGCGAUAUUUCGAGCUACAACUAGAGGUGGGCUGGGAUCUCUGUACACUUUUUAGCUAAUCCAGGAGGAGGAAUCUACGUUCUGCCCUUAUGCUUACGGUGAGCUGCGUAGAGACCUUCAUCUUGAUGAUUUCUUCUUUCCCCUUGGAAAUUGGCCUCCAGCUACUCCCUUCCAAACACGCUGGAGGAGCUGGGAGGGUGAAGCACAACAGCUUCAUGCUUUCUGGCAGUAGCUCUGCCUGGCUGCUGUUAGCCGGCGGGAGAUCCAAGAGUCUUACUGCAGUUUUCAAGAUGUCCAAUUCCCACAUAUCGCUUAAUGGAAACUUUUCCUUAGGAAUGUUAGCAAUUAAUUACGGGUCUCUUUGGCUAACAAAGCCUUUGCCGUACUACUUUUAUGAGAUUAUUACUUGCUUCAGAGAGUCAUGGAGAAUGUUUAGAAUUUCCUUUCCUUUUUUUUUUUUUUCUUUCUUUUUUUGGUUAUUUGUACUCAGUGAUUGAGGGGAAAAGCCAGAAGGAUUAGCAAGAACUGGAUCAUUUCUUGGACUUCAGUUUGGUGGUAGGAUGUGUGCUUUACAGGUGAUGCCCUGAUGUUGGGGUGUUGGCUAAGCUAGCUGAGCGCCUAUGAAGUUGAAGCUGCUUGUCCAAGACCUAAACUGACAUGCUGCUUUAUUCUCUCCUUCCUCGCUUCCUUGUGAUUCCUUCCUUGUGGUCAGAAACAUCCUCUUCUCUGGGCACCCCAGUCCCUUUUUUUAUGUCCUCAGAACAGCGGUAUGAUGUUGGCUUCAGUAUUUACGUGGAGUGCCUGAUGAGCAUAGCUGCUCUGUGGUUUGUCAGGAUCGAUGUGUCUGGUCACAUUUUUCAUUUCAGGUGCUCCGGGAGGUGUGGAGGAGUCUGUGUGGUUGUGAGCUUUAUUUUGUCUGUGCUCCUGCUCGUCAGAUAACCCUGAGCUGGAAGUUCUGUAAAUUGCAUUCUUACUGAUCCAUCCAGAGCUUUCAGCAGGCUUGGUCCAGAGGUGAAUGAAGAAGCAUCUCCUGUCCUGCAGCAGAGCUGGGCAUCCAGUUCUCAUGUGCAGGGAUUCACAGAAUCAUUGCAGUUGGAAAAGAUGUCUAAGGUCAUCUAGUCCAACCGCCGACCCAUCCCCACUGACCACGUCCCACAGUGCCACAUCCACAUGGCUCUUGAACACCUCCAAGGAUGGUGACUCCCCCACCUUCCUGGCGGCCUGGUCCAGUGCCCAACUACUCUUUCUGAGAAAAAGAAAUUCUUAAUAUCAGACCUGAAAAUAUCAGAUGAUGCUAGUAGAUUCCCUGGUGUCUUCAAAACCUGUGAAUCUGAAGUGAAGCUUCUCAGUGUAGGCCUGGAGACCCUCAGAGGCCAGUGGGGUCCCAUUUCUAGUCCUGAGGUGUU